rnacentral:rRNA from 1 species
GAUGAACGCUAGCGGCAGGCUUAGUACAUGCAAGUCAAGGGGGUAGCAAUACAACCGGCGCACGGGUGAGUAACGCGUACACAACAUACCAUAUACUGGAGUAUAGCUUUGGGAAACUGAAGGUAAUCCUCCAUAACAUUGCGAGAGGGCAUCUGAUUGCAAUUAAAGUUUCGGCGGUAUAUGAUUGGUGUGCGUUUGAUUAGCUAGUUGGUAGGGUAACGGCCUACCAAGGCGACGAUCAAUAGCUGGCGUGAGAGCGCGACCAGCCACACUGGAACUGAGACACGGUCCAGACUCCUACGGGAGGCAGCAGUAGGGAAUAUUGGACAAUGGAGGAAACUCUGAUCCAGCCAUGCCGCGUGAUAGAUGAAGGCCCUCUGGGUUGUAAAUAUCUUUUAUCUGGGAAGAAACACUCCUAUUCUUAGGAACUUGACGGUACCAGAGGAAUAAGCACCGGCUAACUCCGUGCCAGCAGCCGCGGUAAAGUACAG